AGCAGCCGCGGUAAUUCCAGCUCCAAUAGCGUAUAUUAAAGUUGUUGCAGUUAAAAAGCUCGUAGUUGAAUUUCGGGAUCAAUUAAUCGGUCGUGCCUCUGGUACGCACUGGUUUUAUUGGUUUCUCCCUUCUGACGAACCAGGAUGUCAUUAAUUUGGUGUCUUGGAGAAUCAGGACUGUUACUUUGAAAAAUUAGAGUGUUUAAAGCAGGCUAACGCUUGAAUACAUUAGCAUGGAAUAAUGAAAUAGGACGUUUGAUCCUAUUUUGUUGGUUUCUAGGAUCGACGUAAUGAUUAAUAGGGAUAGUUGGGGGCAUUAGUAUUCAAUUGUCAGAGGUGAAAUUCUUGGAUUUAUUGAAGACUAACUACUGCGAAAGCAUUUGCCAAGGAUGUUUUCAUUAAUCAAGAACGAAAGUUAGGGGAUCGAAGACGAUCAGAUACCGUCGUAGUCUUAACCAUAAACUAUGCCGACUAGGGAUCGGAUGAUGUUAAUUUU
rnacentral:rRNA from 1 species